rnacentral:rRNA from 1 species
GACGAACGCUGGCGGCGUGCUUAACACAUGCAAGUCGAACGGAAAGGCCCUGCUUUUGUGGGGUGCUCGAGUGGCGAACGGGUGAGUAACACGUGAGUAACCUGCCCUUGACUUUGGGACAACUUCAGGAAACUGGGGCUAAUACCGGAUAGGAGCUCCUGCUGCAUGGUGGGGGUUGGAAAGUUUCGGCGGUUGGGGAUGGACUCGCGGCUUAUCAGCUUGUUGGUGGGGUAGUGGCUUACCAAGGCUUUGACGGGUAGCCGGCCUGAGAGGGUGACCGGCCACAUUGGGACUGAGAUACGGCCCAGACUCCUACGGGAGGCAGCAGUGGGGAAUAUUGCACAAUGGGCGGAAGCCCGAUGCAGCAACGCCGCGUGCGGGAUGACGGCCUUCGGGUUGUAAACCGCUUUCGCCUGUGACGAAGCGUGAGUGAUGGUAAUGGGUAAAGAAGCACCGGCUAACUACGUG